ensembl:lncRNA
AUUUUCUAUUCAGAUGAUUUAAAACAUCACUGUGUCAACUUUGGUCUGUUAAAAAAAAAAGACAAACACACUACAAAAUGAAACAAAACAUCAAAUUUGACAUAAAUCUAUUUAUUAUUUGUAUUUAUUCUCAAUCAAAAUAGUUCACAGGGUAUUUAGAGGUCAACACAUAAGUAGUUUUAAAAUGUGAUCAAAUAAUAACAUACAGACACUCCAUAAAACAUUGAGAAGCAGCGAGUGACGAGUCCAGUUCCAUUUAACCAGGGAGAUGUGAGGUCAAACUAGACCUGGAGGGCUGACAGACACUGUCCUGUUCCCCUGUGGCCCCCUAUUCCCCCGUGGGCCUCCUAUUCCCCUGUGAGGUCAAACUAGACCUGGAGGGCUGACAGAAUGCCUCCCCUGUGGGCCUCCUGUUCCCCUGUGAGGUCAAACUAGACCUGGAGGGCUGACAGACACUGUCCUGUUCCCUGUGGCCUCCUAUUCCCCCGUGGGCCUCCUAUUCCCCUGUGGCCCCCUAUCCCCCGUGGGCCUCCCCCUGUGAGGUCAAACUAGACCUGGAGGGCUGACAGACACUGCCUCCCCUGUGGCCUCCUGUUCCCCUGUGAGGUCAAACUAGACCUGGAGGGCUGACAGACACUGCCUCCCCUGUGGCCUCCUGUUCCCCUGUGAGGUCAAACUAGACCUGGAGGGCUGACAGACACUGCCUCCCCUGUGGGCCUCCCGCUACCCCGUGGGCCUCCCGUUAGCCCCCCCGCUACCCCGUGGGCCUCCCGCUACCCCGUGGGCCUCCCGUUACCCCGUGGGCCUCCCGUUAUCCCCCCCCCGUUACCCCGUGGGCCUCCCGUUAUCCCCCCCCGUUACCUCGUGGGCCUCCCGUUAUCCCCCGUUACCUCGUGGGCCUCCCGUUAUCCCCCGUUACCUCGUGGGCCUCCCGUUAACCCCCCGUUCCCCCGUGGGCCUCCCGCUACCCCGUGGGCCUCCCGCUACCCCGUGGGCCUCCCGCUACCCCGUGGGCCUCUGGUCAAAGGUAGGGGACUAUAUAGGGAAUAGGGUGCCAUUUUGGGACAUGUAAUUGAUACAUGAUUUGGUGUCCCAGGUCUGAAUGAGACGGCUGGGAUUCAACCUAAAGGUGCACUGACCACGUCGCACCGUUAACCAGCUCAUUCCUCUGGUUGUCAUGGUAAACGCUGCGGAUGUCAGCUGAACAUUUGAUUGAACAGUCUAGUUUGGUUUGCUCAUAAUCCACAAUGCGCCUUUGAUUGAAUCCCGGGCUGGACGGAAGUUAAACUAUCAGAAACACCAGGGGUCCUCCAGGAGGAGUUAGACAGCAGUAGUCACAACACCACCACCACCACAGACCCAUCUGAUUGGCCAGAACCUGACCACGGACCCAUCUGAUUGGCCAGAACCUGACCACGGACCCAUCUGAUUGGCCAGAACCUGACCACGGACCC